rnacentral:tRNA from 2 species
UUUUAAUAGCUUAAUUUUAAGAGUAUAAUAUUGAAGAUAUUAAGGUAGUAGAUUACUUUGAAAUAU